rnacentral:rRNA from 1 species
AUGAAAUACCUUGGGUUGCCUUUGCCUGUCAAGAGACUGAAAAGAAUUCACUACCAGCCCCUUGAGGACAAGGUUGCAGGCCAACUCACUCCUUGGGUGGGGAGGCAUGUUGCCUCAGCGGGUCGCGCUGUCUUGGUAAAGUCGGUCCUCACAGCAAUUGCGGUCUACUACAUGACGGCGUUAGAUUUACCAGUGGAGGUCAAGAAGAAAAUUGAUGCCCUCAGACGUGCUUUCCUCUGGGCAGGUUGUGAUAAGGUCACUGGUGGAAAAUGCAAGAUAAAUUGAGAGCAAGUGUGCAAGUCCAAGAUGCAUGGAGGUCUUGGAAUCCUAAACCUUGACAAAUUUGCCAUUGCCCUUCGCCUUCGGUGGCUGUGGGACGAGUGGCUUCACCCAGAUAAGCCAUGGGUUGGCUUGGGAACCCCUUGUGAUGACAAUGACCGAGAUAUCUUUGCCGGGGCUACCAAGGUCCAAGUUGGGGAUGGCAUGCGUGCCAAGUUCUGGGAGUCUCCUUGGCUUGAUGGGAUUAGGCCCAAGGACAUAGCUCCCAAAAUCUAUGACUUGUCGAAGAAGAAGAAGAAUUGCUCGGUUCGGUUGGCUCUGCACGAUAACUUCUGGACUUCCCAGGUGGACAUUCUUCAGGGCAUUACAGUUCAACACCUCUCUGAGAUUUGUCUCCCUUUGGGAGAGGGUCUCGCAUGUCCACCUUGA